CGGCGAGCUUAAACCUGCUCCUCGAACGAAACACUCUAUUUGAUUUUCUUCGGAAAUGAAGAUUUUGUGACUGAGUGGCGGACGGGUGAGUAACGCGUGGGUAACCUGCCUCAUACAGGGGGAUAACAGUUGGAAACGACUGCUAAUACCGCAUAAGCGCACAGGAUCGCAUGAUCCGGUGUGAAAAACUCCGGUGGUAUGGGAUGGACCCGCGUCUGAUUAGCCAGUUGGCAGGGUAACGGCCUACCAAAGCGACGAUCAGUAGCCGACCUGAGAGGGUGACCGGCCACAUUGGGACUGAGACACGGCCCAAACUCCUACGGGAGGCAGCAGUGGGGAAUAUUGCACAAUGGGGGAAACCCUGAUGCAGCGACGCCGCGUGAGCGAAGAAGUAUUUCGGUAUGUAAAGCUCUAUCAGCAGGGAAGAAGAAUGACGGUACCUGACUAAGAAGCACCGGCUAAAUACGUGCCAGCAGCCGCGGUAAUACGUAUGGUGCAAGCGUUAUCCGGAUUUACUGGGUGUAAAGGGAGCGCAGGCGGUGCGGCAAGUCUGAUGUGAAAGCCCGGGGCUCAACCCCGGUACUGCAUUGGAAACUGUCGUACUAGAGUGUCGGAGGGGUAAGUGGAAUUCCUAGUGUAGCGGUGAAAUGCGUAGAUAUUAGGAGGAACACCAGUGCCGAAGGCGGCUUACUGGACGAUAACUGAC
rnacentral:rRNA from 1 species